rnacentral:rRNA from 1 species
CCUACGGUGAGCAGCAGUCGAGAAUCAUUCACAAUGGGGGAAACCCUGAUGGUGCGACGCCGCGUGGGGGAAUGAAGGUCUUCGGAUUGUAAACCCCUGUCAUGUGGGAGCAAAUUAAAAAGAUAGUACCACAAGAGGAAGAGACGGCUAACUCUGUGCCAGGAGCCGCGGUAAUACAGAGGUCUCAAGCGUUGUUCGGAAUCACUGGGCGUAAAGCGUGCGUAGGCUGUUUCGUAAGUCGUGUGUGAAAGGCGCGGGCUCAACCCGCGGACGGCACCUGAUACUGCGAGACUAGAGUAAUGGAGGGGGAACCGGAAUUCUCGGUGUAGCAGUGAAAUGCGUAGAUAUCGAGAGGAACACUCGUGGCGAAGGCGGGUUCCUGGACAUUAACUGACGCUGAGGCACGAAGGCCAGGGGAGCGAAAGGGAUUAGAUACCCGAGUAGUC